rnacentral:lncRNA from 1 species
CAGAAAAAUUAGAAUAUUUCUGUUUGCUUAUUAUGAAUUUGAUAUGUAGAGAUUUCAUAAUAGAUGUAUUUUUCUGUUCAAUGAGCUAACUAUAUCUCUCUUGUAGCUCAAGAGGAAAUAUCAGAUGCAAAUCUUAUGCGUGACCAUCAAGAAUCAAUAUCAAAAAGCCAAAUGACAGUAAAGCAGCAAAAAGAGAAAAAACACACUCAAGAUGAAGUACUAGAUGGAAAUCCUAUGUUUGAGCGUCAAGACGCCACGUCAAAAUCAGAGAUUCAAAUGAAGAAACCAAGUUUUCACAAAGGGGAAACACUUACUACUCAGGAUGAAGUACCAGAUAGAUAUCGUAUUCUUGAUCAUCAAGACUCAGUGUCAAAAUCAGAGAUUCAAGUGAAGAAACCAAGCUUGCACGAAUGGGAAGGACUUACUGCUCCUGAUGAUGUGCCUGACAAUACUCCUGUGAUUCAGCAUCAAGAUUCAGUGUCAAAACUCCCAAUGCAAGUACAGAAACAGAUAUCUUCCGGAGAAGGAAAACACAGUACUCCUGAUAAAGUGCCACGUGGAAAUCUUAUACUUGAACAUGAAGAUUCAGAGUUAAAAAAACAAGCACAAGUAAAGAAACAAAGAACUUCCAUAGGAGAAAGACUCAAGACUCAUAUUGGAGUACCAGAUGAAAAUCUUACGGUUUUUAAUCAAUAUCCAGUGUCAAAACUCCAAACGCAAGUAGAGAAACAAAUAAAUUACAGAAAGGAAAGGAGUCAAAGUUAUUUUGGAGCAUCAGGUCAAAAUCUUCUGCUUGUGAAUGAAGAUUCAGUUUCAAAACCCCAAAAGCAAGUGAAGAAACAGAUAGCUUCUCGAGAGGAAAGACGCUAUACAUAUCCUUUUCAAAACCUGAAAAACGAUAUGAUAGCAGUUGAAAAUCUACAUCCUGAGAAGAAGGAUUUGUUUUCAAGAAAGCAAUCCCAAACUCAGAAACCUAGAGCUAUCAAAAAGGAGAAUCAUGAUGCUCAGAAAGCAAGCGACAUAUCAUCUGAGGAUGAAGUUGGAUCAAAAAGCCAGUCUCAAACUGAGAAACUUAGAGCUGGCAAAAUGGAAACCCUGAAUAGUAAGUAUGAUAAAUUUCAAUAUUAAUUUAUUUUAAUUAAAGUAAAAAGCAAAAAAUCCUGUCUUAGGUUUGUGAAUGUUUAAUCAUAUCUUUUGUAUACAUCUGUUACAUCAAAUAUAUUUACU